rnacentral:lncRNA from 1 species
UUUCAGUGAGUUAAUUUUUUGCUCCUUAUAAUUGUCUUACUGUUAUUUUUCUCGCGUUUUUAAUAUAAUCGCAUAUCUUGUAUUUGUUUGUCUCUAGCCGGCAAAGCCAACAGUAGAAAAUAGUUUGUGGUUUCCACUGACAUCUUCUGCUUCUUCCACUGACACCCUUCAAUCAAAGUACGAUGUUUUUGUUAGCUUUAGAGGUCAAGAUGUUUGUGAAUGUUUCCUUAGCCAUUUGAUUAAGGCACUUUCUCUAAACCAGAGAUUGCUUCCUUUGUAGAUUACAACAUUCCCAAAAGGACAUAUCUGAUGCACUUCUAAGAGCAUAAUGAUGAUUUAUGUGCUUACAGCUUAGUAAGCAUCUCUGUUUGGGCUUAAUUAAUGUGUGUUUUCCCAUUGGGUUUGUAAGGGGUGAGGGGAUCUCUGAUUUUAAUAGUUCUUGUUGCGCUAAAAAUCCUAUUUUGCUGAGACCCUAAACUCGAGAAUAGUAUGUAUAAGGGUUGGAACACCCCUUAAGUGUCUCUUUUUUAUUUUAUUAAUUCAUUGCUGAUAAAAAAAGAGCAUAAUAAUGAUGUUGAUCAUUUGUUUCUUCUUUACGUAUAGAAAAA